rnacentral:lncRNA from 1 species
AGGAGCCCUACCUUGCUGGGGGCCAGGGGGCCAGGAAGCAAACACAUCCCAGAGAAGGGAAGAAAGUGGAAGGACAUUCACAAAUGUUUGUCUAAUAGAUCAGAUGUUUAAAUUAAGGAAAGUGGAAAUGAAAACUAGAGAAUAAACCCACUUAAGUGAGCUGGGGGAGACCGAAGAGCUGCCACACCCCCGGAGGCUGCCAUGGCCGAUGGCCCCAGAGAGAAGGAUUCACCAGGAGAUGCUCCAAACCCACAGCAGGCCAGACUGACUGUGACCCACUGACGGGGGCGCUCUUCACUGUUUGCUCAAGGAGAACACCCUAUUGUGCAAAGAAUCCAAGUUACCCUGCAGACAAAAGGAGAUGCCACCAGCAACCACCUGGAACCGGACCAGGCCUCACCGCAAGACCUCACCUGUGACCUUUGCCUUAUUUUGAAGGGCCUCUGGUGCAGAUCCUCGGGAGCCAGGAGUUCUGGGGCACACAGGAGCACCCCCUGUAUUCGGCGGUGGGAGCACCGGGAUGAAUCCUCCCCUCUGCUGUGGAGAGCAAAGUUCUGCCGUGCUUUGCUAAAAGACCACAAGGAGAGGAAGACUGCACACCCACAGGGAUUUGUGAGGCCCGCCCACCCCACUGUCUUCUGGGAGCUUCCUUCAGUCCCACUUUAGUUACUCAAGUGCACAGUGAGAAAGGACUGAGCUGGGGGAUCCCACCCGGCCUUCCCUGGCCUCCCGGUAGAGCCCGCCAGCAGCCUCGGCGGCGCCUCCCCCUCGCAGGGUGGCUCGUUCCUCCUUUUCAUCAGACCCACGGACUCCUGGGCCAUUCGUAUGUCUCCACAUGAGACUGCAGAGCACAGAAACCUGAGUGUUUCUGCAGCGCAAACAGACGCCUCUGCACUGAGAGGAGCAGGUGGGAGGGAGCCCUCGUCCAAGCCACGCAAGUUCCAGGAGCACGUGUGACAUUCCUGGAGGUGCCAGGCCCGGGGGACUCAGCCACUAACUCUGGUCACAGAAUGCAGACAUGGGCAGCGGCAGAGGGUGGACAGAGUGUCAAAUACAGCCUGAGAGCUGGGACAAGUCGACGGCAUCUCCAAGAGUGAGGGUGGACGUCAGGGUGGGGGGUGCAGGGCAGGAAAAGUGGGGUUACAGGGCAAGCAAGCCGCAUCCUAUCUUAUCUGGUCAUGUGAUAACUGGGUGGCACAGUCCUCCCACACCAGGUGUUCUCACGGCCCAUCAGAACCCCCUGGAGGGCUAAUUAAAACCCAGGUUGCUGGGCCUCAGCACAGAGCCCCGAUCCAGCAGGUCUGGGCUGGGCCCCAGGAAUCUGUGUUUCUAAAGUGCC